rnacentral:rRNA from 1 species
UACGUAGGGUGCGAGCGUUAAUCGGAAUUACUGGGCGUAAAGCGCGCGUAGGCGGAUCAGCAAGUCAGGGGUGAAAUCCCCGGGCUCAACCUGGGAAUUGCAUUUGUGACUGCACGGCUAGAGUGUGUCAGAGGGGGGUAGAAUUCCACGUGUGAGCAGUGAAAUGCGUAGAGAUGUGGAGGAAUACCGAUGGCGAAGGCAGCCCCCUGGGAUAACACUGACGCCUCAUGCACGAAGCGUGG